AUGGUUUCCUGGAGCGAUUCUGGCAGUUCGUCCGACGCUGAGUCAGUCAGCAGCGAAGUGCAGUUACCUGCCACCAUCUUGUGCUUGGAAUGGAGCGGCCUGGCCACAGAUCUGAGUUCAAGAUGUGAGCAUGAAUGUGUGUGUCAGAAGCUGGUGGCAUUUGAUUCAGUGGAUAGUGGGAGGAGAUUCUUAGCUUGUGCACAGAAGAACAUACCUAAAUGCAGCUAUCUGGAGUGGGUUGAUCCUGAGUGGCCUGCCCCUUUGAAGAUGAGCCUAGCUAGGAUCUGGGGCAUGUAUGAAGAUGAGAACAAGCUGAGGCUCAAGGACAAUGUGGUUCAUGCUCAAGAGAAUGUUAGGGUUGUGAGAGAGAAGGAAAAGAUGGAAAGAGACUUGAGGUUUUUUAAGGUUGGUUUUGCUCAAAUGGUGGCUGAGAAGGAGCAAGCUCUGGCCCAGCUAGGCAACACACAACUUGCUCUGACUGACAUGAAGGAAGAUCUUGAUAAGAAGAAGAUUUCUGAUAAAUCAUUCACAACCAUUCAUCAAGUUGUCAGGGCCAAGGCAGAGAAAGAGAGGGACCUAAUAAAGCAGGAGAGGGACAACAUCAUGAAAGAGAGGGACAAUCUGGUGCAAGAGAGGGACAACCUGGUGCUGGAGAGGAAUGUGCUGAAGCAAGAGGAGAAGAAGUUAGAGUACAUGAUUGGUGAUCUUUUCAAACAUAAGGAAGACACCAAGGGCAAGAUAAGGAAGCUGAAAGAGAUGCUUGAAGAAUUUGAAUGA
rnacentral:rRNA from 1 species